UUGACCGUGGCCUAGUGGAACGAGCGUCCGCCUCAGAUGCGGGAGGUCAUGGGUUCGAGCCCCGGUCGAGUCAUACCAAA